GAGCACAUAGCUCAGUUGGGUUGGGAGAGCGUCAGACUGAAGCGGCAACUCUAGUCAAGAUAUCUGAAGGUCGCUGGUUCGAUCCCGGUUGGGCCCA
rfam:Gaeumannomyces graminis var. tritici R3-111a-1 unplaced genomic scaffold supercont2.3, whole genome shotgun sequence.